rnacentral:pre_miRNA from 1 species
UUAUUGUGUGGAUGCCCUAAAGGGCUUCCACACAAUUGUUUUCCUGUUUCUCUUUAUUCUUUAUUGUGUGGAUGCCCUCAAGGGCUUCCACACUAUUGA